CUACGAAUCCAUCAUUGAGAAUGGCAACCAGGGAAAGCAGCCAUUUCCUCCAGAAGAAAACUGUUCUGCCACAUUCUCUUAAAGUAUAUUCUCCUCCCAGGGCAAGCACAGAGCUCCCAUCAACACUAAUGCACACACAGAGAGGGAGAAGUAAAAGGAAAAAAUCUGAAUUUCAAAAAAAAUAUUACACAAUCCUGCUUAUGCAGGUGAACAUUACCGAUCAUUUUGGUCUUCGAUAUCACAAACCGUUAUGGUGAUUUCUCUCACAUCAUGCAAAUGGCUGCAUAAUGUCUACUCCUCUUGGAAUGUAAAAUCAAAUCAGCAUUCUAAUGAUACAAGCCCGUGAUGAGCUUGGAAAUAAAUAUGCAGAAGCGCAUAAAAAAAAAAAUCAAGGCAAUCAAGGAGAGCCAGCGUCCUA